rnacentral:lncRNA from 1 species
ACUAGCGAGCAGGGUCAUCAGAGCUGCUCCAUUCUUCUGGAAGCUGCAGAGAAAGGGAGCCCGGAAACCUGGUAUGCCGGCAAAAAGGGCUGGAGUGCAAUGACACGAUCUUGGCUGACUGCAACCUCUGCCUCCCGGGUUCAAGCAAUUCUCCUGCCUCAGCCUCCUGAGCAGAUGGGAUUACAGUUUAUAAUCAGGUAUAAGUCUCUUGGGGAAUCUGACCUCAUACCUCAUCUAUGCAGUUCCUGUACAAGGUUCCUGACCUGUGGUAAGUAAUGAAUGUCACUUAGAUAACCCCAAGUUACCUUUGGGCCUCAAGAGGAGAGGAAUUUACCCAACUCAUAGUUAUUUGAGGGUACAAACCGAUGGCUGGGCUCGGCUUUUAAAAAGUCAUAUGUGGGAUUCCUCAUGGAACAGAAUUCCAUCAAAGCCCAUUAAAAAGAGCCUAAGUGAAAAAUAAUUAUUCUUGCUGCAAAUGAUCAGGCCAAGUACGGGAAGACUAAAGUUGAUUUUGUAAACAAAUCCGUUCUAUCAUGAUUUGUUUUUAAUAAAAAUGGGGACUGAAGAGAGAAAAAUUAUAUUUCAAAAGAAAGCUAUAGUACACCUGUUGUUAGCUGUUAUUGAGGUUUUUUUCUGCAGUUUGGAUUAAUUCCUAAAUUCUUUGUGGGUUAGAAGUCCCCAAACUCAUGCUUUCUAAUCAUUGCUUUUAAAACUGGGAAUUGUACUGCUCAUCCUAGGACUCGUUAUUUACCUUAUGGUACACUGUUCAGUUAAAUACUGUACUGAAAGUAUAGAUGAGGGUACUAAUGCUUUUGCCAUGCAAGGUUUGGAAGCCCAGUCAGACCUGCAUGCGUCGCCCAGACAGCAGUAAAUUGGUUCACUCCUCUCACCUUGGGGUUCACUCCUCUCACCUUGGGGUUCACUCCCAUUCCCACUACGCCCUCUGUCAGCAGGAAGACGCCAGAGCGAUCCGCAGUCUUUUCCCAUCUUCAUAGGCUAACCUCAAGAUUAAGGUGUUAUAAAACACAAAGGGAGGGAUUGAAACUACCUUUGCAAAAUUAUGACUGAGACAGUGAAAGAAAUCUAACUUGAUCGACUCCAUCUUGCUUCUAACCUGCAAGCUGUCCUUGUCCAUUCUUGGACCGAGGCUGAAUUAACUUUGGGAGGAACUUAGUUUAUAGUUUAAAUCAAAGACGGUAACAGCCCUUUCCCAAAGCAGACCUCCUUCUUGCCUGAAGACUAAAUUGCCUUUGUAGGGCUAACAAUAACCACGAGAUAAGAAAUCAUGGUGGAGGAGUCAUGUAGCUGGAGGGUACAAGAUUCUGACCCUCCCUAAACUGCUCCUAAGAUUAGUGCUUGAGCUAUUUUGCCGACCCUGCACUUGAUAGAUCAGCUGACACCACCCAGAUGGAUAAACUGGCUCAUCUGACUUGCGGCCCCCACCCAGGAUCUGACUCGGUGAAAGAAGACAGCUUUGACUCCCUGUGAUUUCACCCCUGACCAAUCAGCGCUCCCAGCUCACUGGCUUCCCCCGCACCCACCAAGUUUUCCUUAAAAAUUCUGCUCACCAAAUGCUCAGGAACAUUGAUUUGGGUAAUAACACAAUUCCGGUCGCUUGCAAAAUUAAAAAAAAAUCUAAACAGUACAGCAUGUUCUUUAUAUAUUAUCUGAAAGAUAAUUUUCAGAAAAAGGUAAAACAAUGACUUGCACCAAGAUAUUAAAAUACACAACUCUUAAAGAUUUUAUUUUACACAUAUGAUAGAAGGGAACUAGGCAGAUGUUAGAAAUAGUUUAAAGGAAAAGUGAAAACAAUACAAAUUUAUAUGGAGUAAAGGAAUUUUGAAAUGAGUUGCAAAUGGAAAGAAAACUUUUUUAUUUAUUUAUUUUCAAAUUUUUUACAGGAGAAAGAAGCCAGUAAAAAUCACUACUAGACAGGGCAGAAGAUAGAUAGAUAGAUAGAUAGAUAGAUAGAUAGAUAGAUCGAUCUAUGUCUAUAUAUCUCCAUCAGUUACCUGCAAUUUGCAAAGAAUUGUAAAAUAGUUCAAAGACAAUGAACAACCCAGAAGUAUGUGUUACAGUUUUCCAUUGAAACACAUUUUUUAAACAUAUCUAAUAGGUAUGUCUUAACUAGCGAAUUCACACCACUCUUCAGUGAGAGGACUAUUUAUUGAUCAUCUGCCUGUGUGUUGCAGGUUGCUGUCUACCUUUUUCAAAUUUGAAGCAAAGAUUUUCAUUAAAAGAUUUUCACUAGAAUUAAUUAAAAAUCAAAGCCCAAAUCAAAACAGAAUACACAGCAAGCUGUGCUAGUGACAUGGAUGACAACUUCUCCUGGGGAUUACAACUCUCAGGGUGACAUCCGUGUAGAUGAUUCUGUAACUGUUAAAAUGAAAAACUCCCACCCUGUGGGAACAGAGCCGGGUGAGCCCUGGCUUCCACACAGUGCCACCCUGAGAAGGCGAGGUCUCCCCAGCGUCUGUCUGCAGUGCAGCCAGGGCGGAGGAAUGAAGUGUCACAGCAGGAAGCAGAUGGCUGCAUUUGCAGAUAAUCAAUCUAGAGACUUGCAGCCCUGAGUUUCAGGGGAACUUGUCUAAGUAGCAUCCUGUCGCUGGAAGGCAUCUAAUGAACUAAGUUACUGGUGUUCUUGCUUGUCAGAUAGCCCUGGAACACUGUCUGGAUUUUAUAAUCAUUUUCUUGAGAUUGACAAAGUCUAAAUUCUUGCUGAUCAUUGACGAGUCUAAGUUGUAAAGAAUGCUACCCAUGGAUGGAACUUUUUGCUUAAACUUAAGAAAGGGAGGAGAAAUAACAGCAGCGGUGCCCCGUGAAGGUUUCCCAAACAUGGAGGAGUCCUGGUAUAAACCAUGCCUUGGACCCACAGCGGAAGGAGGAGCACAGCACAGCUGGGAUCACGAGGACUCUGAAGUCUCCUGGGACGUGACAGGAGCAGGCUCAGCCACUGUGCACAGCGUGCGUCCUUGAGCAGGUCACCUAAACUGCCUGGGUCUCACAUCCCUGCCAUUCAUGGUGUUGGGGCUUGCCCUGACUUUGUACCAAGAUCAGAGAGGGGCUUAUAGUAGGGAGAACCCAGGCAGCGGGAGGAGGCACUUCCAAGCCCCCAAGGGUAGGCGUGGCCUUCCCGGCCCCCAAGAGUGCAGGGAUGCCAGAGGCUGCAGCGGCAGAUUUGGGCGACUGCGGGUGUGCAGGGUGGGGGCUCCUGCCUGCGCCAUGGAGCUGGAGGCCCCUGUCUGCAGCCCCAGUUCGGGCGGCUUCCGCGAGCGCAGCAGUGCCUAGGAGCAUGCAGGGCUCCUGCCUGCCCCCACCCACCCAAGAGCAAAGGGAGGCUCAGAUCUGCAGCCGCAACAUGGGCGGCUGCAGCCCUGUCCAGGAGGGUGGGGCUCCUACCCGCCUGGAUUAGGAGGUCAGGUCAGCAUCCCCAGUUUGGGCGGCACCCUGGAGUGCCACAGCACCCAGGAGCGCACGGCUCCUGCCUACCCUCAGCCCUCCAAGAGCACACAGAGGCUCGUGUCUACCGCCCCAACUCGGGCGGCUGCAGCCGCGCGGGAGAGAUUGGCGGUGCUGCUGCCUGCUCCUGGCUCCCACCCACUCCGUGGGGCACACAGCCCCAACUGUGACCCCUUGCAGCCUGAGGCAGGGGCUCCUGAUCCUUGCUGGGCUCAGGCCAGCGUCCAGGGCAGGGGCAACAUUACCACGAGCUCCCCCUGUUGCCCCCGUACUCAGGGGUGGCCCAGGGCAGAGUGGAUCGUGGGCCUCAGGCCCCGCCCUCAGGAAUGGCAGGCUUGGUGGUCACCCCGACGCCAGGCGGACUCCAAGGAUACGGUCUGGGCAGCCCCCACGCAGAGCCUCCUCCCGCGACCCAGGAACCCGGCACCCUCUGUGGGGUGGGCACAGUGGGUGCCCAGCUGGCCAGGUCCCCUGAGUAGGUGUCACUAUCCCUUCCUGCCCCGGAUCCCCGAAGUGCGGCCCAGCCCUCAUCAGGCCCCUUUCUGUCGGAGGAGCUACUGCCCCACUGCACGGCUGCCCCGCCGGUGGGUGAACUGGACCCCGCCUAGCUCCAUCCCGGCGGCCCCCAGGGCAGCGGGUGGAGGGAGGGGGCUGUCCACCUCCUCCCUGCACACGCCCCGCAGCAGUCUGCGUGCGGGCAGGGGCCAGGCCGCACCAGAUGGCCCACUGCUGCCAUCACAGGCACUAACAGGAAUCAGCCUUCUGCAUCCAGGCCUUGUGUUAAUGUGUGAAUGACAAAGCAAAAGACCCCAGUGUGUGAGGCAGGAAUUUGGACAUCAGAAGGAGGAAAAACAGGAUGAAGCUUCCGGAAGGAAUAACCAUCCCAGCUGUAUCACCACACACACCUAGAACCCUUUAGUCAGGAGGAGGGAGGACGGAUCCAACGUGGAAUAUGUAGGAUUUUUCCGUUAGCCUGAAUGUACCACCAGAUGGAAGGAGGGUCAAGAACAUAAGUCUGUGCCUUGAGGACUAAACUCUGACCUUUUUUCUCUCCUGCCCAAAUUCCUACCUAAGGGGCCUGGGGAGGUCACCCUACAAACCACAAAGCCUCAUUGGAGGGGUCUUAUUAACCCUGUGUAACUCGGCUCUUUCCAACCUUACUCUGGUGUAACCUCACAUGACAGAUAAGGAAGAAAAUCCAAAUAUUUUAACCCUAAAUAUGUUUCUUGGCCAUAUCUUGAAAUGUCCCUGCAGAGCUGUCUCAUGUGGGGAAAGUCUAUAUUCUGUAGAAAAUCCUGUUCCCUUUCCAGGCCUUUUUCCUCAUCCAGGAAAUACUCCACUAAGUUUCUGGCACCUUUUAAGUCUGAUAAGAAACAUUUACCAUCGAUUCUCUGUAAGUCUUCUACCUGGAGGCUGCAUCAGCGUAAUAAGAACCUUGGUCUCCACAACCCCUUAUCCUACCCAGAUAUUUCCUUUCUAUUGGUUCCAGGUCUUUAGAUAAACUCUUUCAACCAACUGCCAAUCAGAAAAUCUGUGAAUCUGCCUGUGAUCUGGAAGCCUCUGCUUCCUGGUGUGCCACCUUUCCCGUCUGAACUGAUGUACAGCUUAAAUGUAUUGAUUGAUGCCUUAUGCCCUAUAGCAUGUAUAAAACCUAGCUGUGCCCUGAUCACCUGGGUCACACGUUCUCCGGGUCUCCUGAGGACUGUGUCACGGGCUGUGGUCACUCACGUUUGGCUCGAAAUAAAUCUCUCCAAUAUUUUACAGAGUUUGUUCUUUUUGUUGACAAUCUUUUAAAAUGUCUAAUCAGGAGAAAAUCCCACUCAUACAGAGCACCCAAAGGUGUGCUGGCUGCCCACUGACUAUUCCGGUCGACAGAGCCAGGUACAGGGGUCAGAGUCACAGCAGCUCCCGUGGGCCGAUGAGGAGGCAUGGCUGGGGAGGAGGCUCUGUCUCUCCACACCCGAUGGAGGCAGCUCUGCUCCUGAGCUCAGGGUGGACUUCACCUGGAGUUAGGAGUCAGGGGUCUGGGUCCUGCUUCCUCAUUGCUCUGGUACCUGAAAAGAUAAGCAGUCUCCGUGAGAUGGGGCCUGACCCAGCAUGCACAAGCCCGGGAAGGAAAGGAGUGAAAGGACCUGCUUCCCUGGGACCAGAGCAAAGAGCAGAAAGAGAGUAAGUGAUUGAUGUCGCCUGGGUUAGAAGGAGGAAGUAGAGAGGAGCGGGUUAGCGUUAGGGGCUUGCCUGGGCAGUCACAAAGGGCCCCACAGGCAGAUGAGCCUGUAAACCAAAAAUACAUUUCUAAGGCCCCCCAGCUGAUAGAGAAUGGAUGGGCUCCUGACUAAACUCCACCCUCAAGCCUAGAACCUUGGCCUUAAGUGAAAACAGCUGACCUGUUUGCCUUUUUGGCCCUCCCUGUAUCCUAUCCUGUGCUCAUAAAAAGACUUCAGCUGGCAGAGCAAAGAAGCUGCUGAGGUAAGCAGUCAGCGAUGCAAGCUGCUGAGCGGUGGGGAUGCAAGUGGCCGAGUGUCAGAGACUCCCGAUUGACAGCGCUGACUUCAGAUGGUGUCGUUUUCCAUGGGGAACCCGGCCGGGGAGGACGGUGCUUCACGGCAAGAUCACCUUCUUUCCACACCACCCCCUUUCCAGUUCUGCCUUUGUCAUCAUUCAAACAGUCUGUGUGACCUGAUUCUUCCUGGACACUGAACAAGAACUUGGGUGUCAAAAAGGGUGGGUGCAGAAGGCUGUGACCUUGACCCUUUGCUGGGCCAUUAACACUUGGCUGUCCACGGACCGCACGCUGAGUGAAAUGAGCCACUACAGUUCCUUCCCACAAAGGGGGUCAAGGUCAAAGGAAAAAUCCUGUCUCACAAUGCAUUUCUGAAUGCAUUUCCUCCAUGGCCAGGACACUCGUAAAAUUUAACCUAAAAGACUGCUUCAGGCCAUGACAGAAAGUGGAGUAAGACAGGUGUCAUAUACCUCUCCAGCAUCAACAUCAACACAGACCCCCCACCCCCACCUCCAAGCAGCCUCUAGGCAGGUGUCCUUUGUUCUAACUUCUCAGCUCUCUACCAGGGCCAGCUGCAGGAUUUAGGGGCCCAGGGCAAAACACAAAUGCAGGGCUGCCCACACAUUCCUCUCAGUCACACAUCGGGCCCCUCCUGCUGCCUUGUCCUGGUCCCAGUGGGCCACCAGGUAAAAGUGUCACCCUUAAAAAUGUUCAAUUGAUGCAAAUUCACAUUUAAAGUUAGUUUACUCUGUCCCGGCACAAAAGGGUUGUUUCCAAAGUUACACUGAUUAGACAGAAGUGGACCUUUGUCCCAGCUGAGGCCCUCCCAUGGGUACCCACCCCCUGAACGGCGGAUGCAAGACGGCAACAGUGUUGACUGAAUUCAGGCAGUUUCAGGCCACAGCCAACUGGGGAGACAGCAAUGAGUGAUGAACGGUCGGGGUCCUCUAUGCCACGCCAUGAAACCUGAACUAACCGGACAAGUUUAUCCAGAGCUGGACACGACCCUUUGGGGGCCAUGUGGCAUGGUGGUUACCAUUGGCCUAGUGGUCAGGUCCAGCUUCAGCCUGUGGCUUCCCUGGCUACUGGCUGUGGGACCUGGGACCGGACACUGAGGCUGACUAAGGUUUUUACCUCAAACAUGCUUAUGGUUGUGUGUACCAAGAGGGUGAUGUAAACCAGACAGCAAGUGCCUGGUGAGCAGCGAGUGAUUAAUAAAAGGGGGUGUGUGUGUGUGAUCCAUAUACGUACACAUACACUUAUUUUAAUUUAGGAAAAAGUGCUUUCUUUCUCUCUCCUCUCUCUCUCUCUGUCUCUCUCUCUCUCGCUCUCUCUUCUCUCUCUCAUUCUCUUCUUUCCUUCACAGGGUCUCCCUGUGUCAGACAGGCUGGAAUGCAGUGGUGCAAUCAUGGCUCACUGCAGCCUCAACCUCCUGGGCUCAAGAGAUCCUCUGACCUCAGCCUCCCAAGUAGCUUGGACUACAGGCAUGCAACACUAUAUCUGGCUUUAUUAUUAUUAUUACUAUUUUGUAGAAAUAGGUCCUCACUAUGCUGCCUAGGCCAGUCUCCAACUCCUGAGCUAAAGUGAGCCUCACUCCUUGGCCUCCCAAAGUGCUGGAUUGACAGGCAGGAACCACUGUGCCCAGCCCCCACACACAUUUUUUAGUCAUCACUGAUGGAGUUUGGUCCUGGGUGUGUUGCUGGGCCUGAUGAGAACUUCCUCAACAGGUUCCUGAUGCGAAACCCCGCGUUUCUCCCUUGAAAGGGGGCAACCAGCUUCUGGGUUACUCUAAGCUCUGAGACAGACCUCUGCUUUUCUUCCCUUCUGCUAUCACCUUGUUGAAGAGGGCCCUGCUCUGAAGGCUGCCAGAGGCGCCUGGGCCUGCGGAGAUACCUGCUCCCGGCACGUCUCAGAAGCAAAGGCUGUGCACAGCCACUCAGGUCACCUGUGCGGACUCUGUCCCUGGUAGGAGUCCUCCCGUGCGUCCGGGAGCCGGUGCCAUAGCUUGUCUCUGACCGAACGCCCACUGGCAGAGGUGUAGAAAGAGGAGCUCUUAGAGUGUGACUGCAGUCCAGGUCCAGCCAGAGAGAGACUUCAUCCUCCUUAUGACUGUGGGACUCAAGUAUGUCUGUCAUUAGGUGGAGGCUUGAUCGAUAGGCUCAGCCGCCCUGGUGUUCUGACUCUUGUUCCACUCACUGCAUGAAAUGAAGCUGGCGGAAUAUUGCUACAAAAGAAUGAUCGUGGCAGGAGGCGGGGUAGAGCAAUGUCAGGUCACGGUGCGUCUUGCACCGAAAUAUUAAGGCAGUUGUAAUGAUCUUUGUCUCACAGAAAUGAACAGAGUGAUGAAGGAGGCUCAGAGAAAGGCAGCUGAGAAGAGCAACAAGGUAGAAAGGCUGACUUAAAGUAGAGAAAUAAAAAUUCAUCCAGCACCUCCCAAGGUCGGACAUUGGUCAAGAAACGCCCAAAUAGUUCAGGUCGUUUAACUUUGCUCAAAUUCCUCAAGGCAGGUAUCACGACUCCUCCUGCUUUAGAGGUGAGAAUGCCAAGGCUCCCGAGGGCUGAGUAAGGAGCCCUGGUUUGUUUGAGUGCAGGUAACACAACAGGUGUUAAAGCCCAAUCUUCAGGGUCUUAAUCCAACAGAAGUUAACUUUCGCUUAGAAAAAGUUCAGCACCAGAGUUCCUGGUGGAUAAGCGACUUCCCACAAGGUCAUUCCUGGGCCUUCUCUGUGUCUCCCCACCCUGUCCCCCUCUGAGGGUUUCAAGUCCUCGGAAGGUUCUAGAUCCACCCUGCAUGGAGCGCAGGGCCCCACUGCUUGUUUCCAUUGCUGAGCCCAACAGGAAAGGCUGGGAUCGGAGGUCGCCUUGCACCCAGGAUGGAAGGGAAGUGCGUUUGGUGAACACAUAGUGCCCAGGCCACCUACCCAAAGCCGCACAGCUCCAGCAGCAGCCUACAGUCCGACCCGGGCCAAGAAGCGAAGUCCAACCUCAUGCUUUCUCUGACUUGAGUUUUCUGAACCUCAGAGUCCUCUCCUAUAGAAUGGAGAACACGUCUCCUUCACAGGAUUACUAGGAGAAUGAGCAGAGAAAAUGCCUGUGGAGGAGACUUCUGGACACUUAGUUAUGGACAGGGCACCAGGAGAAAGGGUGGUGCUGGAGUCUCUCCUUAGCUCUCAGAGAUCAUCACAAAGAGGGUGCCUCCUGCUUCCGGCCCAUGGCAGAGUGUGUCCGAGAGGCCGCCUCUCACCUCCCUCCCUGGCCUCGCACACGCAGUCGGGACUGGAUUUCUGAUGGCAAUUCAGUGACGCACAAUCGAAAACCAGCAGGGCGGAACAGGAGAUGGGAGCAAACUAAGCUACCGUUUCACUAACUUCACAGAGGAGCCUGACACAGAAAAAUGUAUACAUUGUUUGCCUUAAAGUGAACAAUAGGGAAUAGCUAUCGUAUCUUCAAAGCAGCUUUCCAAGAUCAAAUCCGUCGCAUCCGGAAUGCGUUUCUUUGACCUUGGAACCUCCAGGAGUGGCCAGGCUCCCCCACAGAUCACACGCAGCGUUGCCUAGAAGCCGGUAGCUCUCCCGUAGGACGCUGGGAAGCAGCCAGCUGUUCAUGUGGGAGUGUCGGCGUGCGUUCCUUUGUCAACGUCCUGCAAGAAAGAAAAGGCAAGAACGUCAGCGAUGGCUCCACUGACUGAUUAAGGCAAAGGAAGUCGCCACUCCCCAGAAUAACAUACGUGUGACAGACCAGGAUUCAGCCCACAGCCUGGAGCCAAGACACCAUCCGACCCAGAUGAACCUGCGUGGAUCACCUGAGCCACUAGUGACCCAGAGAUCCUGAGAGUGAAAAACAUGCAUGGUCCUAUACACCACUGAGUUUUGGGAUGACUUGUUACUUAGCACUAUUAUGACAAUUGCUGACUAAUAUACCAGGCUCCUGGAAGAUUUGUUGUGAGGUUCUCAUAAAAUGAUGAAUGUGAAAUUGCAUUGUAAGCUGCUUUUAAAAAAGGUACUUAGCUGGAGUGAAAGCUCUACAAAGGCAGAAAUUGUUUUGCUACUGUAACUAGAUGAGUUCCUGGAAUAAAAUAGUAGCUCAAUAAAUACCAUAUUAAUUGAAUUGGAUGGAUGGAUGGAUAUAUAUAUAUAUAUAUAUAUAUAUUUUAACCUUGGAACUUCUAUCAUAGGCAUUUUUCCUUGGGUUGAAACUACUAAUUUCUCUUAAGUACAGAUACCCCCCGAGAAAGCUAAAAUGCUGUAUUGUUUAUCACAAUACUUUUGGUUCAUGAUAAUUACUGCCAGAUACCUGGAGUAAUUAUAGAAAUUGUAGAGAACAAGAGGUGAGGGGUGGGAGAGCUAAGAAAUGGAUUUUCCAGUUUUGCCCAUGGCUACUUUGUGCAGCACCUCUGACAAAAGCUUUGGGAGUUUUCCAGAAACUAGCAUUCUGCGCCCUCCCCAAGCACUUAUUUCUUCCUUCCCCAGGGUGCCGUGUUUGCAUUUCUGCAGCACAACAUGGAGGGUAAAGGGAUUGCAGAGUGAGUCUCCACUUCCACUCGUCUCUGUUGUUGGAGAGGAUUAAAAGAGCAGGAGAGGGGCUGCCUGUGUCCUGGGAAAUUUUCAGGACAGAAGAAGAGGCUGGCCCUGUGCAGUAGGUGCAGAGCAGGCACCCGGCCUCCAGGGCCACCGAUGACUCCAGGGCCUGGCAGGAGCCAGGAUGUGGCUCCUCGUGGAGGGCUAUGCCAGCCGUGUGUCCGACCCAGAGCACAGAACCAUUGCCCCAGCAGGGCUUUUCAGUGGAACCGAGUGUCCCCACACGAGCUUUGUCUCCGGAUGCACACGAGGAGAUUCUGCAGCACAGUGGAUCCGAUUAAGCCAUUACAGCUUUCCAGAGGGAAAAGAAAAUUUAGGACGUGUAGAAACUAAGUCUUUGCCCACAAUCAAGUUUCCAUUCAAAUUAUGAAAAGGAAGUGAUUGAAUGAGAAUGAGAUGACCUUCCCCUUCCCCCACGGAUCUUCCUCCCUCUGGUUCCCUCUGCUGCUGACACGAGCACUGCACCCAGGCGACGGCCCCGGGCGCCCAGGCUGACUCCCGCACUCGGGCGCUGAGCUCAUGGCCGGUUCUGAAGAACUCUGGUUCUGCUCAUGCCCCACAUCAAAACGGCCAAGUCUUCAGAUUUGGGAUUUCCCAAGCCAAAAGCAUUUUCAUAGAAUUGCAUUUCAAUAUUUACAUUAUCUUUAAAGAAAGUCCAGCUAAAAAUAAAAAAUAAGUAAAAAUGUUAAAAAUAAAACAACCCCAGAGAGAAGUGGGGUCUACCUGAAUGCAAUGCAAGAUGAAGUGGACAUCUGGACGCCCCUCCUCCAGGGCUUCGCAUGCUCCCCGGGGCUCAGGGGCUCGGGUGGGGCAGCUCCUCAUGGCGUGGGGUAGGGAGGGUGACCCCAGGUUCUUAGUCAGGGCAGGUGCAGGCCUGUGAGACACCAGGCGAAGGAGGCAGAGCAGGCCGUCCUGUGUGGAGUGGCUUAUUCUAAUUCAAACUCCCCUGUUUUCUUCCUCUUCCUUUUGGGGGAACUCAUCCCUCUGAGACCUCAGACAGACAUGCACCAGGCUAUGGGUGGGGGUAAUGCAGGGCAGGCAGGGUGGUGCAGGAGAAGCAUUCUGCUCUUUUCUGCAGUAAGGUAAAUAUCGUGGCCGUCAUCUGUUCCACCUCCUUCCUGCUGUCUGGCUUCGUUAGUGCAGAUCAAGAGCAUAGGUCAGUGCCCUGGAGGGUGUUCAGGAUGACCGUAGCAGAGGUCUCCGUGCCACAAAUGGAACCCAGCCUUGCUAACUUCUCCAGGCUCGGUGCCCAGCACCCCCAGGGCACACAGAAACCACUGUGGUGUGAGUGGUGCUGGAGCAGCAGACACAGGCGCGUUGUUGUCGGGAGGUGGGGGAGCCCCCGCCGGCUUGCGUGUUUUCUUCCUUAGCAACUGCCCCUCAGAAGCAAUACAGGACUUACCCUAAUGUCACCUCUGCUGAGUCCACGCCGGGGAAUGGCUGAGAAACAACUUCAUGCCAGAAUCCUGUCAAUCUAAGUCUCUACAAAAUUCUAGGAACCAAGAAAUUAUAAACUGAAAGCUCUUAAUGAGAAGCUCUCUGUGGGCAAUGAUCUGGGCUCUGCAGGGGGCUCCAGCAGCUGCCAGAGGGAAAUAAACGUGGAAAAGAACAACCUGAGGCUGCUCGGCUGAAGGCCGGAGCAUGGGGACUGCCCUAACCCUCACUCACGGUGCAGGGAGCUUCCCAGGAAGUCUCAGCUCACCUGCAGCCUUCGAACCAGGAGAGGCUCCGUGAAAGAGCAGGUGCGUGGACCGGCUGGAGGAGUCAAGAGAACUGAUGCCUUGAAUGAAUCCAGAUGAGCAGCCACCAUUGUCCUAAAACACCCUUGUUCCCUUUGGAAAGGGUGGGCCAGUUCUGUGUAGGUUGGGAAGGUGACUGGGACCCAGGACGCCCCAUGGCAAGCCAGCUUCUGCCCAGGAGGUGCUGGCACCGGGCCGCAAGAUGGGACAUGGCCUGCUGGUGAGGGGUGGUCCCUGAGCUGCCACUGCAGCCUCGACAUGUCUCCACUUGGAGAUAAACAGCAGCUUAGGCCUGGGGGGCAUCUCUGCACCCAAGAGCUCCGGGUGCAUUGUCUCACUGCUGUUUGUCCAGUCUCAAGGGCUUUGAUUUGUUCUGCCCACACCUGUGACCACAGCUGCCCAUGCCAAACUUUCCUGCGGGAUCGUCCUAAUAGAUCCGCGGGAGCUGGUGGCUCCUCUUCCAAAGCCCCAGACUUUCAUGUGGAUCACCUUUCUUCUCUGUCCCCAGGAUGCUCGAGGUCUGGCCUCAACCCUGUCAUCAUUGUCAAUCCCUGCGGCUCCUCCUUCCAGGGAGGCUGGGCAGAAGAGCAACAGGAGCAGGUGCUCAGGGGCAACACAGAAGACAGGAGCAGGUGCUCAGGGACAACAAGUACUCAGGGGACAGAAGGUGCCAGGAGGUAGUAGGUGUUCAGGGGGCAGCAGGUGCUCAGGGAGCAGCAGGUGCUCAAAGGCAGUACAGCAGACAGGAGCAGGUCAUUUCUAAAUAAGUUUAAAAACUGAAACAUGAAUUACUAAGCAUGAGUUUAAAGUUUAUAUCCUUUGACAUCGUGUUUUUACAUAGUAUAGAGAAGCUAAAUGUAUUUGGUUCUAUUAAUAAACAUGAAAAUUGUCCGGGUGCAGUGGCUCACACCUGUAAUCCCAGCACUUUGAGAGGUUGAGGAGGGCAGAUAGCUUGAGCCCAGGAGUUUGAGACCAUCCCAGGCAAUGUAGUGAAACUUUGUCUCUACAAAAAAAUACAAAAAUUAGCCAGGCGUGGUGGCUCCAGUUUUGACUGCAAGGAUGGACCCCUGAAAACGCCCAAGGCUUCAGAGGAUGACCGCUAGAGCCAGCAGUUUCUCUUUCCAUAAUCAAUCAUGUUAUUUGAUAGUUAUGAGAGUUGAUUCAAGAUUGAGAGAUGGAAUAGGCUGUUAUUACUCAGGCUCAUUUCCUAAAGUAAAUCAUAAUUUAUAGAUGUGGGACACAUAGGCUUUGAGAUUCCGAUACAAUUAGUGCAAACAUUUAGAAGAUAAAUUGGCCUCCAUUCCAAGGUAACCAAAUGGAUCCCUUUUUUAAGAAUUGAGAAUACUAUAAAACAAAGAUGCAAAAAUACCCAAAAUUGAUCAAUAAGGAUCACGCAGAGAUUUAUUUUUUGAAGACAAUACUAACAUUUCAAAUGUAGGAAAUACUAUUUUAUGCUUUAAACAGGGACAUUUAGUCUCGAGUUCUAGUUUUAAUGCCCUAACCUGGUUUAUCCAUAAAGUGGAGAGAGGCUAGUGCAUAAAUUCAUGUGGUACAGCCAAUCUUAUUCAUUUUUUCUCAAGGGACAGUUAUAACCAGAAUGAACAAAGCCUGGAAUUCAUUAACAGAGCUUACAGGGAAGGUGAGUGGUUUCGAAGCAUUUUUACUAAUCCUUUGAUAAGUCACCCUGAUGUGAGAGGUGGAUUUAGCGACUUGCUUAUGCCAAGUAGCAUAUGGCAAAAGUAAUGAUAUUUCACUACUGCACGUAUCUGCAAAGGGAGCACUCACUCUGGGGCAAGCCAGGCCUGUGUCAUGAAGACACUCGAGCAGCCCUGUGGAGAGGCCCAGGCGUAAGAAACAGACGCCUCUUACCAACAGUCAGUGAGGAACUGAGGUCUCCUGCCAUGAGCCAUGUGAGUGCGCGAUCUUGGAGGUGGGUUCUCUAGCCCCUGUCAGGCAGUCAGAUGAUGCAGCCCCAGUCACAUGCAAUCAAGUCUAGGUUCUUGAUAUUCUAGUUACUUAAAGAUUGUCAAGCAAGAAGUCAUUUCUUCCCCGGCUAUGCUAUUCAAAGGUUCAUGAAUCUUUUGGAUUUUGUAUAUUUUAGAAAUUCCAGAAUUUAUCAGUAGGAACCAGAAAUAGAAUAUCCAGCAGGAACGGCAUGAUGUAUAAAAAAAUAUAGUCCUUUUUGUACAUUCCCCUCUUCCAUUAUUCUAACUGUAUCUACCUUCAAAUCACACCUAAGAUUUCAGGGAUAGACCCUUUACCUCGAAGAUAAUGAAACCCAUCAGAUUAUAAUUUUUUUUUUGUUAUGGACAAUUCCCUUCCCUAAUAUUUCUCAAACUGAAGGUUGUAAUCUACUUCAAAGAGUCGUCCAAGGAAGGCAUGGUGAUCGACGAGUUUCAAAUAACUAUCAAAUACAUUUAUUUAUCCUAAAAACGUUGACAGUAAUGAUAGAAAUACUCAUUUUUAAAAUUCUUGAAUUCUGAUACAUAGUUCUAUUUUAAAGUCCUGAAAUACCAGUAUUUUUUUAUUGGUAUACUACAAUUAUACCACUAUUUUUGGAAACUAAGGUCUGAAUUAUUAACUUCUUUUUUUUGAGAUGAGGUGUCAUCUGUUGUUGUUCAGGCUGGAGUGCAGUGGUGCAAUCACGGCUCCCUGCAGCCUCAGAUCCCUGGGCUCAAAGAAAUCCUGUGAGCAUGGCACUGUACCCAGCUGAUUUUUUAAUGGUUUGUAGAGACAGGGCUUUGCUUUGUUGCCCAGGCUGGUCUCAAGCUCCUAACAUCAAGCAAUCCUCCUACCUUGGCCUCCCAAACUGCUAGGAUUACAGGUGUGAGUCACCAUGCCCAGCCUUUAUUUAUCUCUUAAAAUGAAAGUCAUUGACUAAACUAUUCAAUUUUGUGCCAAAAAAAAGAUGAACUAAUGUGCAGUCUUCAAAACUGAUAGGAUUAUUCUGGAAAAUUUUGUACAUACACACACAAAAAAAGAAGCAUUGAUGACUUUUGUUAAAAACACCAAAUAAUAUGUCAUUUUAAAUGUUUAUGAACGAUUAAUUUCUUAUUUCAAUAUAAUGCUUAGUUGAUUAUUUGUAAUAAAAGUUUAUUUUUGUUUAUGUGCUAAUCCAUUAGGAUGUGAUAUAGUUUGGAUAUUUGUCCCUACCCACAUCUCAUGCUGAGUUGUAAUCCCCAAUGCCAGAGGUGGGGCCUGGUGGGAGAUGUUUGGGUUCUGGGGGUGGGUCCCUCAUGGCUUGAUGCUGUCUUCUUGAGAGUGAGUUCUCAUGAGAUCUGGUUAUUUAAAAGUGGGUGGCACCUCCCUGCCCACUGUCUCUCACUUGUUCCUGCUCCUGCUCCUGCCAUGUGAUGUGCCUGCUCCCCCUUUGCCUUCCGCCAUGAUUGAAGCUUCCUGAGGCCUCCCAGAAGUAGAAGCCGCCAUGCUUCCUGUAUAGCCUGUAGAACCACAAGCCAAUUAAACUUUUUUUAAAUGAAUUACCCAGUCUCAGCUAUUUCUUUAUAGUAAUGCAAGAAUGGCAUAAUACAGGAUGAUAAUAUGUUGAAGGUUUAUAGAUUCAAAAAAUGUAUUUUAGUUAAUUUGAAAAAUAAUGUAAGAAACACAUGAUAAAUAUUCAAUUACGUUUGUGAAAUACACUAAAUCCCUACCUGCUUAUUUCCUAGCUGGGCUGCUAUAACACAGUGCCACUCACUGGGUGGCUUUUACUGCUCACAGUUCUGGAGACGUGGACAUUUACAAUGAAGACUGAUUAGGGCCAGUUUCCUGAUUCACAGAUGGGGCCUCUCGCUGUGUCCUCACAUGGCAGAGGGACAAACAGGCUCCCUCUCUCUCUUUUAUAUGGGCACUGAUCCCAUACAUGAGAGGUCCACUCUCAGGACCAAAUCACCCCCUUGAGACCCCACCUCUCAACACUAUCACCAUAAGGAUUAGCCUUCAGCAUCUGAAUGUGUGGGGAGGAAGCACAAACAUUUAGAUCACAGCGCCCUGUCCCUGGUUUCCCAAAGUUCACAUCUUCCUCACGUGACAAGUACAUUCAUUCCAUCCCAACAGCCCUACAAGUCUUAACUCGUUCCAGCAUCAACUCAAAAGUGUGAAGUCCAGAGUCUCAUUUAAACAUCGUCUAAAUCAAAUACGUGUGUGAUUUAAGGUAAAAUUCAUUGUGAGACAAACUGCUUUCCAGCUGUGAGCCUGUAAAAUCAAACAUGUUAUGUGUUUCCAAAUUCAAUGGUAGGUGUUAUGGUUUGGACUUGUGUCCCCACCCAAAUCUCAUUCAAUUAUAAUCCCCGGUGUUGGAGGUGAGGCCUGGUGGGAAGUGAUUGGAUCAUGGGCCGGAGUUCUUAAGAAUGGUUUGGUACCAUCUCCCUUGGUACUGCAUAGUGCGUGAGUUCUCAUAAAAUCCAGUUGUUUAAAAGUGUAUAGCACUUGUCCUUCUCUCUCCCUCCUGCUCCAGCCAUGUAAGAUGCCUGCUUCCCCUUUGCUUUUCACCAUGAUUGUAAGUUUCCUGAGGCCUCCCCAGAAGCUGAGCAGAUGCCAGCAUCAUGCUUCCUAUACAACCAAUGGAACUAUGAGC